rnacentral:rRNA from 1 species
GCGGAAUGAUAAGUCAGUGGUGAAAGUUUGUAGCUCAACUAUAAAAUUGCCAUUGAAACUGUCGUUCUUGAGUGCAAAUGAGGUAGGCGGAAUGUGUUGUGUAGCGGUGAAAUGCUUAGAUAUAACACAGAACACCAAUUGCGAAGGCAGCUUACUAGAAUGCAACUGACGCUGAGGCACGAAAGCGUGGGGAUCAAACAGGAUUAGAUACCCUGGUAGUCCACGCAGUAAACGAUGAAUACUAGCUGUAUGCGAUAUACUGUAUGUGGCAAAGCGAAAGCGUUAAGUAUUCCACCUGGGGAGUACGUUCGCAAGAAUGAAACUCAAAGGAAUUGACGGGGGCCCGCACAAGCGGAGGAACAUGUGGUUUAAUUCGAUGAUACGGGAGGAACCUUACCCGGGCUUGAAAUGCAGACGACCGGUCAGGAAACUGACUUUCCAGCAAUGGCGUCUGUGUAGGUGCUGCAUGGUUGUCGUCAGCUCGUGCCGUGAGGUGUCGGCUUAAGUGCCAUAACGAGCGCAACCCCUAUCGAUAGUUACUAACAGGUUAUGCUGAGGACUCUAUUGAGACUGCCACCGUAAGGUGUGAGGAAGGUGGGGAUGACGUCAAAUCAGCACGGCCCUUACGUCCGGGGCGACACACGUGUUACAAUGGGGGGUACAGAGGGUUGCUACUGCGCGAGCAGAUGCUAAUCUCUUAAAGCCUCUCUCAGUUCGGAUCGGAGUCUGCAACUCGACUCCGUGAAGCUGGAUUCGCUAGUAAUCGCGCAUCAGCCAUGGCGCGGUGAAUACGUUCCCGGGCCUUGUACACACCGCCCGUCAAGCCAUGGAAGCUGGGGGGACCUGAAGUACGUAACCGCAAGGAGCGUCCUAGGGUAAAACUAGUAACUGGGGCUAAGUCGUAACAAGGUAACC